rnacentral:rRNA from 1 species
UUUGGCCUACGGGGGGCAGCAGUGGGGGAUAUUGCACAAUGGGGGAAACCCUGAUGCAGCGAUGCCGCGUGAGUGAAGACGGCCUUCGGGUUGUAAAGCUCUGUCGCAGGGGACGAAAAUGACGGUACCCUGCAAGAAAGCUCCGGCUAACUACGUGCCAGCAGCCGCGGUAAUACGUAGGAAGCAAGCGUUGUCCGGAAUUACUGGGUGUAAAGGGAGCGUAGGCGGGCGGAUAAGUUGAAUGUGAAAUCCAUGGGCUCAACCCAUGGCUGCGUUCAACGCUGUUCUUCUUGAGGGUAGUAGAG